ACUGCCCCUAGAGGCAUUGCAGGCAUGGCUAUGGUGUUCUAUGUAUGCUACUAGGUGGCAGAGAAGAGAGUCUAUGUCUAUGCUCAAUGUUCUGAACUAUGAACAUCUGAAUAAUUAGAAGCCUAACAUU